CGAAGGCUCCGGGGUGCGGCGUUUCCCUGUGGAGGGACGCCCCUGGCCCGGGCUGGCCGCACCGACCCCGGAGCAGGGCCCGGUGCCGCCGUCCCGGACAUUGUCCUUGAGCAGCGCGGCACCGGAGCCGCGCCGGGUCGCCGCCCUCCCUUCGCAUCCGCGCGUCCCUCGGCACAAGCGACUUGGAUCAUGAAUAUAAGUGAAGACUUUGACGUCAGAGUUGAGAUUUAUCAGCAGAUCCAAUGGGGCAGGAAUAUUAAGUGCAAGUCGAUGCCAGCUCUCUGCCAACGCUAUUAGCGAUGCUCGCCGAGGAAUGAGGCUUCGCACCAAGGGCUGGAAGGACCGGCAAGGAAAAAAAUAAAAACGGGGUGGGGGGAGCAAGCUGAUCCUCGAGCAUUAAAACCAGGUAAAACAACAA